GUGAACAUAGUUUAACUAAAACAUUAGGUUGUGAUCCUAAUAAUGAGGACUACCCCUCCCCUGCUCACC
rnacentral:tRNA from 1 species